rnacentral:rRNA from 1 species
AGGACGAACGCUGGCGGCGUGCUUAACACAUGCAAGUCGAGGGAGGCCGACCCUUCGGGGUCGAGUCGACCGGCGGACGGGUGAGUAACACGUGACCAACUUACCUUCGGGAGGGGGACAACCUGGGGAAACCCGGGCUAAUACCGCAUAAAGUGCCUUGGCCGCAUGACCGGGGCAUGAAAGGGGGCCUCUACUUGUAAGCUCCCGCCUGAAGAGGGGGUCGCGGCGUAUCAGCUAGUUGGUAGGGUAACGGCCUACCAAGGCGACGACGCGUAGCGGGUCUGAGAGGACGACCCGCCACAUUGGGACUGAGAUACGGCCCAGACUCCUACGGGAGGCAGCAGUGGGGAAUAUUGCGCAAUGGACCGAAAGGCUGACG